GGCGGCGUGCCUAAUACAUGCAAGUCGAGCGGACAGAUGGGAGCUUGCUCCCUGAUGUUAGCGGCGGACGGGUGAGUAACACGUGGGUAACCUGCCUGUAAGACUGGGAUAACUCCGGGAAACCGGGGCUAAUACCGGAUGGUUGUUUGAACCGCAUGGUUCAGACAUAAAAGGUGGCUUCGGCUACCACUUACAGAUGGACCCGCGGCGCAUUAGCUAGUUGGUGAGGUAACGGCUCACCAAGGCGACGAUGCGUAGCCGACCUGAGAGGGUGAUCGGCCACACUGGGACUGAGACACGGCCCAGRCUCCUACGGGAGGCAGCAGUAGGGAAUCUUCCGCRAUGGACGARAAGUCUGACGGAGCAACGCCGCGUGAGUGAUGAAGGUUUUCGGAUCGUAAAGCUCUGUUGUUAGGGAAGAACAAGUGCCGUUCAAAUAGGGCGGCACCUUGACGGUACCUAACCAGAAAGCCACGGCUAACUACGUGCCAGCAGCCGCGGUAAUACGUAGGUGGCAAGCGUUGUCCGGAAUUAUUGGGCGUAAAGGGCUCGCAGGCGGUUUCUUAAGUCUGAUGUGAAAGCCCCCGGCUCAACCGGGGAGGGUCAUUGGAAACUGGGGAACUUGAGUGCAGAAGAGGAGAGUGGAAUUCCACGUGUAGCGGUGAAAUGCGUAGAGAUGUGGAGGAACACCAGUGGCGAAGGCGACUCUCUGGUCUGUAACUGACGCUGAGGAGCGAAAGCGUGGGGAGCGAACAGGAUUAGAUACCCUGGUAGUCCACGCCGUAAACGAUGAGUGCUAAGUGUUAGGGGGUUUCCGCCCCUUAGUGCUGCAGCUAACGCAUUAAGCACUCCGCCUGGGGAGUACGGUCGCAAGACUGAAACUCAAAGGAAUUGACGGGGGCCCGCACAAGCGGUGGAGCAUGUGGUUUAAUUCGAAGCAACGCGAAGAACCUUACCAGGUCUUGACAUCCUCUGACAAUCCUAGAGAUAGGACGUCCCCUUCGGGGGCAGAGUGACAGGUGGUGCAUGGUUGUCGUCAGCUCGUGUCGUGAGAUGUUGGGUUAAGUCCCGCAACGAGCGCAACCCUUGAUCUUAGUUGCCAGCAUUCAGUUGGGCACUCUAAGGUGACUGCCGGUGACAAACCGGAGGAAGGUGGGGAUGACGUCAAAUCAUCAUGCCCCUUAUGACCUGGGCUACACACGUGCUACAAUGGACAGAACAAAGGGCAGCGAAACCGCGAGGUUAAGCCAAUCCCACAAAUCUGUUCUCAGUUCGGAUCGCAGUCUGCAACUCGACUGCGUGAAGCUGGAAUCGCUAGUAAUCGCGGAUCAGCAUGCCGCGGUGAAUACGUUCCCGGGCCUUGUACACACCGCCCGUCACACCACGAGAGUUUGUAACACCCGAAGUCGGUGAGGUAACCUUUUAGGAGCCAGCCGCCGAAGGUGGGACAGAUGAUUGGGGUGAAGUC
rnacentral:rRNA from 1 species